GCCAGCGCCGCCAGCAGGUGCUGGGUGAGCUGGGAGAAGAGCGCGGCGCUGCAGCAGGGCACCAGCAGGCCGAGCGCCAGGAUGGAGCGCUUCCUCACGGCCAUCCUGGGGCUGGUCAGCUGUGGGCGAGGAGCAGGAUGUCCAGAGCCUCCAACUGAACUGACACGUCCUCCUGUUUGGCCAUGGCACCGAUCAGCUGCGAGGUUAUCUUCUUACACACGCCUAUCGUCAGGGUCAAACCUGGCAACCCAGAAAAACACAGCUCAACGAAGAAGACAAACUGUGAUUUUGUCUGCUUCUUGUUCUGUGAUUGUGAUUAGAAUAAAAAGUUCUGGAAUGACAGCAAGAACCAUUUUGAAAAGUGUUUCUGUCAGUGAGAUUCAACAAAUGAGACACCAACUAACAGUCAAAUAUCUCCUGUCACUUGUUGAAAUAAGUGUCAUUCAGUGGAACCUAACAGCUUCUAACUUCUGCUGAGGUUUCACACACCUGACGAAAGCAGCGGCAGCUCAGCGAUCACAGUCUUCAGUCCCAUACUGGAGAUGUCCCUCAGCUGCUCCUUGUCCGACAUCAUGUUCGAGCACAGGACGUCCACCAUCAUCUCCACCUGAGGCUCCUUCACUUUACUCACCAACGGGGCCAGACUGAAACAACCCAAACACAUCACAGCUGCCCUGAGGCUUUUCAGGUACAGAUUAAAGAGUCUAUUUGGCAAAUGCAGCGGUUUGUUUGGUACCAUUUCACAGCCAGGUUCUGCACCUCCCCGUUCUUGUCCUCCAGCAGUUUGAGGAGCAUCAUCACCACUUUAUUCUCACUGUCCUUGUCCAGUUUGAUGCUGUCCUUCUGCAGCUCCAGCAUCAGGUCGUUGGUGGCCAUGAACCUGGAACCAUGCAGACACCGUUCACGCGUGAUUUCCUCAGGUUCAGGCAUUAAAGCGCCUCUCUUCUGUCGUACUCGAACCGUUACACAACAUGAGUCCGAGCUCAGAACCGUCGCCUCUGUUCUACCUGAAGUCUUUGUCGGUGGAUGUCAUUUUCUCCAGCAGGUUGGAGAUGAGGU